rnacentral:lncRNA from 1 species
AGUCUAUGCCAUUUUUAGGAGUAACAACAUGGAUGAAAUCCCAGAUUUUUUGGAGUUUGAGUGUUGGUAUUUUAAAUGAAAAAGUCUGGAUGAGAUAGUCAUUUAAGACUGUGAAUCUUAAAGAGAUUCACCUAUAAUCACACCAGAAGAAAUUAAUUCAGUGACAUGACAACACCUUCAUAAAUUUUAGUGUCUCUCUGCUCCCUUUUGUAGAUUUCAUCAUCACAACUUGAAGAAUUCAAGAGUUCUACAAGAAUAAGAAAAUAGCUGGGAAGGAAAUUUGGGAGAAAAAUGAAACUCAUUACCCAAAUGCAAGAUUCUUUUAAAAUUAAUUAUUGGCAUCAUUGUUGAAUGGAAGAGGGGAAAAUUCUCCUUAUUGGUCAGGAUGUGACAGGAGAAAAUCCAGACACAUAUCCAAGAGAUAAUUUCUUUGCUGGAGUGCUGACUAUGUUUACAGAAGCAAAUGUCAAGGCAAACCACAUUCAGUCUGAUUGGAAUUAUGCAUAAUUUCAGCACUAUCAUCAUGGGUGAAACAAAAUGGAAGAAUGAUUCCCAACAUGAUUAUGCUUUGCAAUCUAGUAGAUGAAGAAAAGCCAAUGAAACAAAACAACAAAAUUCUAUGAGGCUACUAGAUUUUUGAGAAGAGAAUGACAACAAAAUGUGGGUAUUAUUUGGAAAGAAGAAAGAUCCCUGAAAGACACAUCUAAAAAGGCAACCAUCUUAAACGAAAUUCUGAUGACUUUGAGUGCAUUUUUCUUCAUACUCUUGUAAUUGUUACAUAUUAUCUUUAUUCUGCUUUAAAAAAAAAAAACGGCAUCAUUGCAUAUAUCUUCAUAAUUUUCUGUGAAUCCCUCACAGUCAGACCAACUCACAUUCAGUGGAAAUGGAGUCAUGAAUAACUCCAAGAGUAUCUCUGAGUGAAAAAAAUGGAAGAAUGAUCUCAACGUGAAUACAUUCUUCAUUCUGGUGGACAGAGAAAAACAAAGAAUUCAGAACAUAAUGGGGGAACUUAAUUUUUGAAAAUGGAAUGAGAACAUAAUGUAUACAUUAGUUGGAAGAAAAAACACAGUGAAAUGAUUUCCUAUCUUGUCCUUCUUUUGAAGUAGCCAAUAUAAGCAUUAUUACAGCCCUUUUUUAAAGAUGAAGAUACUGAGUGUCUCAGAUUAAGUGGCAUGCUCUUAUUCAUGGAGUCUAAGGCAGAGUUCAGGCUAGAACCCAACCCUUAAUCCACGUCGAAUGCUCUUUUUUCAUACAUUAAAUAGUUUCAUUUAUUCCAAAUUCUUCAAGGAUCUUUGAUUUUGUUGUUUUGGAUACUGCCUCCACUAACACAGAUUGCACAUCCUUUAUGACUUAGCUGGUAGUCUAAAAAAUGAGCGUGGUUGAACUUGCUGACCUUGACGAUCUCUUUCAUCUUUAAAUCUACGUUUUUAUGAUAUUUUGGCUAGAGUGGCCAUUGAGGGAAAAGUUAUACGAUCCAUCACCCAGUCCCAUAGUUGAAGCCAUUCUU